rnacentral:rRNA from 1 species
AUUGCACGCUGUCGGCAGGCCUAACACAUGCAAGUCGAGCGGAGCGGCGGACGGGUGUGUAAUGCCUCGGAAUCUGCCUGGUCGUGGGGGAUAACGUCCGCAAACGGGCGCUAAUACCGCUUACUAUCAGCUGAGCCUCGGUCGGAGUAGCUCGUUGCUGGGGUAAAGGCCUACCAAGGCGACGAACCGUAACGGGUCUGAGAGGAUGAUCAGUCAGACUGGAACUGAGAAACGGUAAAGACUCCUACGGGAGGCAGCAGUGGGGAAUAUUGGACAAUGGGGGAAAGCCUGAGCCAGCCAUGCCGCGUGUGUGAAGAAGGACGUCGGAUUGUGAAGCACUGUAAGUUGGGAUGCGUUACCAACAGAAUAAGCACCGGCUAACUUCGUGCCAGCAGCCGCGGUAAUUC